GGCCGUGUGCCCGAGUGGUUGAGGGGCUCGCCCGCGCGGCAUCCAUCAGCGGCCUGGCGGCCGCGGGGAGUGACGCCGGUUCGAUUCCGGUCACGGCCU
rnacentral:tRNA from 2 species